UCUGGAUGAAAAUGUACUUUGUGGACGUUUUGCAUUGCUCUUGCACACUAGACCUCUUUCUAUGAAAAGAUAAGAAGUUAUAGGCUUAUUGUUGAUCUUGAUUUUAAAUCAUAAUUUUGCCUUUUGGGAGCAUUGUAUUGUAUGAUGAAGCCAGUCUUAGGAUAAAGCUGUAUGAAACUUGAGCCUUUGGAUGGUGUUAAUCUUAUAGAAUCUAAUAGGCGAUAAUGAAAAGAAAGGGGGAGUUUUCCGUUACUUUAAUGUGUACACCGGCCUUAGGAUAUAAAAGUUUGGUGAUUUUUGGUUCAGAACUUAUAUAACCAAAUUCUAGAUCUUUGAUGUUUUAGAAAAUUUGAGCUUUGUAGCGCUAAAAUUGAUGGGAUGUAAGGUUUAAAGCUUUUGGAAUGGAAGAACGGAAUGAUAGUGAAGUAAAGUUGGUUUCAUUUAACAGGUUGACUGAGAGUCGAGGACAUGGGGCAAGAAUGAUCAAAACUAAAGACUUAAAAUCCAUGCAUCAAUCUAGCUCUAGAUCUAUACAUGUACCCUAAAAACGAUUCCAAUUCCACCCUGCAGGCUACAGUUGGGUUUACUACCCAGCAGGGUAUAACCCAAUGAUUCUGCAUUUUGCCGUCUUGUCCAGUUGUCCAGCAGUACAGGAACUAGACUGCUGUAUCAAAUGCAUUUGGUAUUUGGUUAACACAUUGAACAACCGCCCUUUAAUAAGCCAUAUUGCUUCUGCUGUAAUCACCCAUAAACAUUCUCCUUUCCGAGCAUCUCUCCUGUGAUUUCAGUCCAUUCUUUGUAUCAAAACUUAAGGCAGAUUACAGAACUUGAAGCAGCAGCAUGAAAAAUCAGAACCUGUAUUUCAAGUCUCUGUGAUCUAUGCCCCAAAUAUUCUGCAACCGUUAUAUAUCACCUUUGGAAACCAUAAACACAGCACGGUAGUGUUUGGUUUAUGGGAAUAUAAAUGAAGAAAUGAGAAUUGGCUGUUAUGAAAUGAGUAGUACUUGGAGACCAUACUAGUACUAGCUGAACAGCUUUUGAUAUGCUUUCAAAUGUUCAAUAAAUUGACCCACCACCCCUAAAAGUUCCAUAAUCAAAUGCGUUACACUAUUGGUAUACACUCGCGCUAUGUAUAGUUGGUUUUGGUGUGUGUCAUCCAGUUUCUAGGAAUGGGUCAUCGUAAAUAGUUAAAUUGUGUGUUGAAAAAACUUUGAAGUGAUAUAUCCAAUAAAUACAAAUACUUUU